GUGGGGAAUUUUGGACAAUGGGCGAAAGCCUGAUCCAGCCAUGCCGCGUGCAGGAUGAAGGCCUUCGGGUUGUAAACUGCUUUUGUACGGAACGAAAAGACUCCUUCUAAUAAAGGGGGUCCAUGACGAUACCGUAAGAAUAAGCACCGGCUAACUACGUGCCAGCAGCCGCGGUAAUACGUAGGGUGCAAGCGUUAAUCGGAAUUACUGGGCGUAAAGCGUGCGCAGGCGGUUAUAUAAGACAGAUGUGAAAUCCCCGGGCUCAACCUGGGAACUGCAUUUGUGACUGUAUAGCUAGAGUACGGUAGAGGGGGAUGGAAUUCCGCGUGUAGCAGUGAAAUGCGUAGAUAUGCGGAGGAACACCGAUGGCGAAGGCAAUCCCCUGGACCUGUACUGACGCUCAUGCACGAAAGCGUGGGGAGCAAACAGGAUUAGAUACCCGGGUAGUCC
rnacentral:rRNA from 1 species